rnacentral:misc_RNA from 1 species
CAGGACGCACAAAACGUGCUCCAG